GUGGACGUGCCGGAGUGGUUAUCGGGCAUGCCAUGUGAGUUUUACUCGCGCAGGUUCGAAUCCUGCCGUCCACG
rnacentral:tRNA from 1 species